CCCCAAAGUCGUCAUUGCACAUAAAUACAUACCAUGAACAUUUACAAAUAUUAUUUGACUUAAAUUACCUUUAGUUUACAAAAUAAAGUAAAGGGGUAGAAUAGUCAAAUUGUCAUCAAAAUGUGUAGCGUUUCACCACUCUCCUUAAUUUGUUCCGAGAAAUACACAAGACAUUCUUCAAUCUUCUCAUCACCAGGGAAUGGCCUCAAUUCUAAUCCCUUUCAUUAUCAGUCACAUGGAUGAGUGUGGGUUUGAGAGAUGAUUUGGAACAAAACAACAGCAAUUGGUAUGUUACUAAAAUAUACAGCAACAGGAGAGGCAAAUAUAGCCUGGUACCAGCCCAGUUUGUGCUUUAUAACCAACUCCACUGCCAUGUAAGCAACAGUUUAUGUCAUACAAAGACUGACAGAGGAGUUUGAUAAAAAAUAUAUGAAUCUGCUACCAGGCUAGGUUAAAUAUAUCUCCUGAUACAGAGUUAUAAUGUCAAAAUACACUUUUCGUUUCAUACCCUCUCUGUUUUACUCUAUUGUUCUACUCUAGAAAAUGUACAAAUUCAUAAACAAAUACUUCAUAUCAAGUAGUCCACUGCCUUCAGCAAUGUAUUAGUUCCAGUAUAGCUAUUAUAUUUUUUACUUCCAAACUACCAAAAACUUGAGUUGGCCUUCAUUCUUUCUUCACAUUCAUCUAGUAGUUAAGGCUUAACACAUUAACUAUAAAUUCAUACCACAUUGUUAAGUAUGAACAAUCCAUAAAUAGGUUACAAGUUAUAUUACAGUGCGUUAGUCAGUCUUUCUGGACACUUUGGGAUAAUAAAUACAAUACUGCAUAUCCAAUUUGCACACUUUCCAAGUGUGAUCACUUUCUUUGAAACCUCCAUUCCUAGAAAUACCCCCAAAAAACAUACAAAAAGAAAAAUAUAUUGUGGAUGAUGUUCUGGUCACUCAAAAGGAUAUUUUACAUGGGAAUCAGAAUGAUUGUUCAGGACUCUAAAUCAUGUUUUGUAUUGUAAUGGUUUUGACUUGAGGUGAAUUGUUUUUGUGGGGGUGCCAGGUAGGUUGUGCCUACCAGAGAAAAUAUAGAUUUCUCCUUUUUGGUUGAGAGGGAAUGAGUCCCAUCCGGUCCGUCAAGUCUACACCAAUACAAUGGACUCAUGUAAAAGUCAGUAUGGACAUACAUUUUUCAUGAACCCAUAAAACAUUGGAAAUAACUUAAAAACAACUGUGUUCUUUUGCAUUGGUUAUAUUACCGAAAUAAAUGAUCGGUCACCCCUACAAACAAUUAGUCAAAACCGUUACAAUACAAAACAUGAUUUAAGGUCCUGAACAAUCAUUCUGAU
rnacentral:lncRNA from 1 species